rnacentral:misc_RNA from 1 species
UUUUUGUAGGAAACAUAUCCUUCAUUGAAGCCUUGUAUUUUAGUCAACAACCAGAGGCCAGACACUUUAUCUACAGGCUGAGGUCCCCACCCCAAACUACCCAAAUGCUCUGCUGCCCUGGUUAUAAGUUGGCGACACUGUCCCUGUGCUUGGAGGUUGUUUAGACAACCAGCAGCUCUGCUAAGUCAUUAGCAUAGUUCACAGAUCAAACGACGGUGGUCUGAGGUCUUUUACGUGUUCUCUGGGGCUAAUCUGAAAGAACACCGAGAAUAGGAGACUUGGAUUAAAAUAUGACCGGCCUGCCCUUGAAAAGGGGACAGACUCUGCGUUCCGUAGGUGAACCUGCGGAAGGAUCAUUACUGAGAACUUGCCCUUCGGGGUAGAUCUCCCACCCUAUGUCUACAUACUUUGUUGCUUUGGCAGGCCUGCCCCGUGGCUACUGGCUUUGGCUAGUGAGUGCCUGCCAGAGAAUCAACACUCUAAUAUAUUUACUGUCCGAGUACUAUUCAAUAGUUAAAACUUUCAACAACGGAUCUCUUGGUUCUG